AUACGGAGGGUGCGAGCGUUAAUCGGAAUUACUGGGCGUAAAGGGUGCGUAGGCGGCUUGAUAAGUCGGAUGUGAAAGCCCCGGGCUUAACCUGGGAAUUGCAUUCGAUACUGUCAGGCUAGAGUAUGUCAGAGGUUGGCGGAAUUCCUGGUGUAGCGGUGAAAUGCGUAGAUAUCAGGAGGAACACCAGUGGCGAAGGCGGCUAACUGGGACAAUACUGACGCUGAGGCACGAAAGCGUGGGGAGCAAACAGGAUUAGAAACCCCAGUAGUCC
rnacentral:rRNA from 1 species